GACAGAGGGGGCAAGCGUUGCUCGGAAUCACUGGGCGUAAAGGGCGCGUAGGCGGGAUGGCAAGUCAGUCGUGAAAUCUCUCGGCUCAACCGAGAAACGUCGGCUGAUACUGCCGUUCUUGAGGGAUGCAGAGGAGACUGGAAUUCCCGGUGUAGCGGUGAAAUGUGUAGAUAUCAGGAGGAACACCGGUGGCGAAGGCGGGUCUCUGGGCAGCAACUGACGCUGAGGAGCGAAAGCGUGGGGAGCGAACAGG
rnacentral:rRNA from 1 species